rnacentral:lncRNA from 1 species
UACAAACUGUGGAACUGCCCUUAACAGAUCGUCCGCGUUUACAGGUCUUGGCCGGAGACCGGAGCAAUGUCUGUGUUAUCCCCCACUGUAGACAAUCGUUGCUUCCUCUGGACAUCUGGAGCAGGCCCAAUUUGACCGACAGCCUUCCCCGCUAAGUUACAGAUCCAGCCCCACUAUCGCCACCAGAGUUGAGUCCAAAUCCAACACUCUAGGUCCCAGUAGUGCUGGGGCUUUGUCACCCUCCUGCUGAGAAGUGAAUUCUCCCCUUGGCAAACUGCAGCCAGCCAGCCUCCUGGGUCGAGAGCCAAAAGAUGACUGCGAGAAGAAACCUGGGGUCCUGCAAAGGUAAGUGGGUCCCAGCCCACACCAAAUCUCCCUCUCAAUCUCCCUCUCUUUGUGGGAUUGUUAUUCCACACUGGAUGGCCUGCUCUACGUCUUCUGAGGAACCUCACCUCUGGCACAUGAAUGGAUGCCCUCUAUCUAUCUAUCUAUCUAUCUGCCACCCUCACUGGCCACUAAGAGAGCUCUAGCCCCUCCUCCCCUGCCUGGUUUUGAUAGGACUCAUCCUUUGAGUCCUGUCUUGUCUCUCUGCAGCCCUCCUCCCCCACCCUCCUUCAGCCAGCACUUAGGCCCUCCCUGAUUUAGCCCGUUACCUUGGCAACCACUUGGGCCUGUCUCCCUCAUCACUGAAAACCUGAAGGAGGUUUCCAGCUGUGGUACAUUUGCCCGAGUUGGGCACCCCUCCAGCUUCUAUUGGCUUAGCCCUCUGUGCAACUGUACCCAAUAUAACAAACAUAACCUUCCCGGUCCCUCAACUGUCGGUCUUCAAAUUGAUCUCACUGGUCCCGGGGAACACUGCCUCCUCUAGACUGAGCUCCUCACAGGCAGGAACAUGGUUGUUUCUCAAUAAACAAGUUACAAAAAAAGGAA